UCAGCCUCACCUGAGCAUUCACCCUCUGCCAGGAGCUCUGUUUGAGGUUAGGCAUGGAGGCAGUCUUUCCUAGAGGUACACUGUAGGUAGGUUUGUCUCUGUUCCUGUCUCUUGGGAGGAUCUUGGACCUAUGCUGCAAUUCCAGCCACUGCUGCUCCUUCCUCUUGAUGUGUCUGGGGCUGAACCGUUGGUAGCCCCUUGUGCUGCCCAUCCUGCUCAGGACCCUGGGUCGCUGGAAGCUUCUUCCUCCAUUGCGUCUUGCAGAGAAGCCCUGCUUUUCCUGUUUCCUGAUGCCGAACCUGUUUCCAGCUUCAUGGCAUUACGUACAUUCAAGGAAUCAAAACUAUUCCAAUCAGUUCCUCCCGAGCAGCUACAGUAGAGCUGAAGGGAAGAGUGCAUGCUUCAUGUGAAUGAAGAACAUUGCUGAUCCACAGCUAGGUAUGGGAUAAAACUUGUGCCAUUUAACCAACUCCUCCCUUGUCUGUGCCUGGCCAGAAGAUCUGCCGUAGCAUCAUCUUUAGUUGAAGGUGACUUUGGCUUUUGAUGAUCCAAGACGAUCAAUGAAACUUGGAAAGAUUUAAGAUAGACAACGAUCCUCACUAACAUCCACAGACUCCUGAAACAGAAUCAGAAGCCCUAGUAAGGUACUGUUUUAUCCAUCUCCCCACCUUAAAAUUCUCAAUGGCCCACUCACAGAGCUCAUCAUACUUCAUUGAUCCUGCUCCAGAGUGUUGUUCUGCUGCUGCAGCAAAACUUUGCAAAGCAAGAUUUCCUCAAGAAUGAGAAAAGGGUAUUUUUCCCUCAUUCUUGAAGCAAUAAUCUUGAGCUGGUUCUCUUACUAGUGAAUCCUGAAAAGAGUUUCACGUUCCUGACCCCAGCACCUUACAGUGCUAAUUUCAUUUAAGGACAUUUGUUUUUCUAAUGAGAUUCAUAAUUUUCUCUAUUGAGAAAAAGAAAUCCACACGCAGAGAAAAAUUCAAUCAAAAUUUUUCAAGAACAAGAUUCCUGUUUCAGGUAAUCUUCAUCAGAGUAUCUCAUUAGAUGGCUCAAUAGAAGGCAGAAUGGUCUUUAACCUUCUGCUGCACAGACUAAGUGAUAAACCAGAUGCAGGAUUUCAAAUGUUUUACUUAAUCAUGACUCAUAAUGAAUGUUUAAUGAUGGAAGAGGGAAAGGGAGAGACAUUCAUAUUCUUUCCAUUUCCUCUUUAAAAUGGUUUCAACUGACCUUUCCUAAACGACCCACAGAUUAGGUUCCUAAUAACUUAUAAUUAAUAUUUUCCACAUGAUGCUCAACAUAUGAAAUCUGAUGUCUUACUUCUUUCUAAUACCCAGCAAUUGUUGUAUUUAGUCACAGCUUAUGAACUUGACUAAAGCAGUGUGUGCAAGAUCUUCUAAAAUUUCUUUUUGUAGAAGGUGCUACAUAAGUGCAAUUUGCCUUCACAGAAUAAAUGAAGAUACAAAUUGGUGUUAAGUGUACAGAGUGUAUUCAAAAUACUCCUUGGUAUUACAGUAAGAUUAUUUUUUAACAGAUUUUUGCUUGAAAGGUAUUAGUGAUUACUAGGAACAUCACUG